CUGCAGUGUUCGCUCAGUCUUAUCUUUAGGCACCUUGUGGUCAUCCCCACAUAUUGGAGGCCACACGGGCACUCGAGCAGAUAAAUAACAUUUUUCGUAUGGCAGCUUAUAAAAUCAUAAAUAUCAUACACUUUUUUGGUUUGGUUUGACAUAAAUUUUGUAGUUUUUGAUGAAAUAGCAUGAUCCGCAGUUUUACAUACAAUGCAUUGUUUAC